GUGAUCGGCCUCUGCCGAUCCCGGGCGCUCGUUCCAUCCUUGUUCUGCCGCUUGACGGAUGUAUCCUCGCACGCCCUCGCGGUGAGCCGUAGAGGGUUCGCC
rnacentral:misc_RNA from 1 species